rnacentral:lncRNA from 1 species
UCAUAGCCGUUGGACAUUCAUUUUAAAUGUUAUGUUUUUAACUUUGCUUUUACUUUCAGGCGGUACCCUAAGAGAGUAAUAAACAGAUUUACCCUUAUUUUUUAUUAAAAUAAAAAAAAUGAGGUCCUUAUUCUUCCCUUCUCACGUUUUGGCGUGAUUUCUUUCCUCUCUCAUUAAAAAUAAAAAUUCUUCCCUCCGCAUCACCAAAAUUUUCAUUUUCAUUGUGUAAAGGAGUAGAAGUUGUCGAUUUUAGAGUUUUAUUUUUUUUAUCAUAGAAUCUAUAAAAAAUAAAAACCCUCAUCCAUUUGGCCACAUGGAUUUUGGAACAUGGAUAUUUAAUAUUUUGGAUAUUACUGAAAUCCAUGAUUUGGUUUGCUCAAUAGCUAGGAUAUUAAAAUUCCAUCAAAAUUAAACCUGACCCAACUUUUUGAUGAUUUCAUUUCCAUGUCAAAACUUGCUUUUUGGAAUUUCCAAAGCCAAUGGAUUCCACUCAUGGCCCCCUCAACCCAAAUUAUAAGGCAC